rnacentral:tRNA from 1 species
CUUUCGGUGGCCGGGAGGCGGGGCUCCGCCUCGCUGCGGUGCGAGAUUCUGGUGUGGGGAGGGGCUACGCGCGGUUCGGGGCCGCGCCCGGGGA